CUUAUCUUAAAUACAACGAAAAGAAACAUGUAGAAAUGACCUUACACCAGUUUGAAGUGAGAAAUUAAUGUAGAAUUGUAUUUAUUGUUAUUAGUUUCUAUAACAUCAACGUCUAGCAAUGUCUUGUUACGACGACGGCACUCAACUUGUUAUCAUCACUUUUGGAAGUAUAAUCAUUUUGCUCUUGAUCAUUUUGUUGAUCUGUGUGUGCUGGAUCUGCUGCAGAAGUGACACUCGUCGAGACGGGAUUAUCAUUCGACCAAUGGAUCACACGCAAGCAGGAACAGUUCUCUGCAUGACCAACGAACAUAUGCAAUGCAAUCGAAGUCAAAAUCUUCACCAAGCACAUAGCCAACAUCAGCUGACACAUGCGCAUGCUUGUGAGAGUCAACAGUGCACGACUACCGCACAGUCGUCCAAUCAAGUUGUUUUGCCCCAGUAUCACAAUUAAGCAAAACAAAAUCUUAGUUUAGAUAUGGAGUAGAAAGAUGUGUCAUUAAAAAAAUUCCUCUUUUAUUUCAAGACAAUGCUUGUAAAGUCAUACAAUUGCAAUUUGUGACCUAAAAUCUUUUAUCAAAUCUAGAUCAUUGCAUAAUGGAUUUUAUAUUAGAAUUGUUUCAAUUGCAGUUGUAUUGCCAAUGCAAUAAAUACUUAAUUUUUAACGAAAACCUUUGGGAGCAGACAAUGCAGCAAACCAACUCGACUUGACUGAGUUUGUUUAAAAGAAAUUAUGAACUUGUCCAUCUUCCAAUUUAGACAAUACCAUUAACUGUUUAAAGGGGCGCAUACCGGAAAGAAACUGGCUGAAUAGCGAACAGUGUAGAUCAUGAUUAGACUGCACGGAUGAUCGCAAAGGCAAAACCAAUCGUUUCCAGCAUGGUAAGGGUUAAGUGGACCACUAUGAUACAUACAAUUUGAAUGUACUCAAUGAUCCCAAAGGAACAGAAACACUGAGCUUUUUUACAACCAUUUUGUAGCACUUAAAUUAUUCUAUAGUUAUGAAAUUCACGGAAAAGGUCAAAUUGCACUCCUAAUGAUAAUGUUAUAUGUAGAAAAUUUCUUAUUCGACACGGACGUGUUUUGUAUUCAUGAGGUAAUUUGGUAAGAGCCAUUGCACUUAUCGCAAUGUUAAAAUUAAAAUAGAAAAAAAACUGCCUGCUCACAAAUGAUACAUAAGGAUUUAUACAAAUUCAGCAGCGUAGGUUGAUGGUAAUAAUGAGAAUUUUAGCUUGGUUUUUCUUGGUAAAAAAUCAUCCUUGC